AUUUGUAAACUUGCAAUUGCUAUAUUUGCAAGGGCAAAUGUAUUUCUUUAUUAAAUAAAGUACAAUAAUGGUGAAUGUACCAAAAUGACAUCACUUAACUCUAUGAGAGAUCUGCAUUUUAAUCUAUAGUUUAAUAGUUUUAAUAUUUAUUAGAUAUUCAUAUGUUGAUCAUAGAUCAAACUUGUUGCUGUUUAUACAGAUAAUUGUAGAAUGCUCAUGGAAUAUCUUUAGGGUAGGUGGAAUACUUCUGUAGUUAAAUUGGGAAACCUUGUUCAGCUGGUUUUAGAUAUUGAUGGCCAUUUGGAAGUAAAUUUCCGCAGGUAUUCAUAGGUGCACUUAACACAGACUUUGCUUAAUGAAAAUGUCAGUUCUAAUAGUAACUGAUUCACUUCUGAACAGAAGUGAUUUUAGGCAUAUUUCUUAACAUAUAUCAAGCAAAGUCCUGUUAAAAGAUCUAAAUGAAGAAUGGAGACCUCAGUGAUUAAAGAUAUUUUGUUUCUGACCUUGAGCAGAUUGCUUACCUGUUCUCUAGACUAUAACCCAACAUGUAAAAAAAAUUUGAAGAUGGUGAUGAGGAAAGUGAGAUAUAUAUAUAUAUAUGUAUUAUGUUUCUAGCACUUUUCCCUUUUAAAAAGUGAAAAUAUCCUUGUACAUUUUUGAAAAAUAUAUUUUCAGUUCUGAAAAAUGUAGCAGAAGUAGUGAAAAUGUCAUAUUUUAAAUGUUGAUUAUUAGAUAAAUUUAACCUGCUUAGGGUUUAUUGUAACUACACCUUUCAGACGUGUGUUUUGGAGUAGUGGAAUUGCCAGCCAGGCCCUGUGGCUUGGAAAGGCAUCCCAGAAAUCCUCGGCCAGAAGGUGUGGCUUGUUAAAGCAUUGAGAUUCAGAGUAUUUUGUUUUGCCGGUGUAGAUAGGCAUGUAUUUAUGCAUUUUUGCAUUUGUAAAAUCAACUUUUCAAAUAAUGUAAAUGUAAUAUACUAGUUUACUUAAAGGUACUUGGGCAGAAUCUAAAGCUGCUACAAUGUUUGAUUAUGAAAAAAAUGUAACAUGGUAAGGAUGAAAAUGCAACUUACAAAACCAAAGGAAUUAAAAAUUUUCGGUAGUGUUUCAAAUUGUCUUCUGAACAGGAAUUUAACAUUGGUUUU
rnacentral:lncRNA from 10 species